UACGUAGGGAGCAAGCGUUGUCCGGAAUCAUUGGGCGUAAAGCGCGCGUAGGUGGCCCCAUAAGUCCGCUGUGAAAGUCAAAGGCUCAACCUUUGAAAGCCGGUGGAUACUGUGGGACUAGAGUACGGAAGAGGCGAGUGGAAUUCCUGGUAUAGCGGUGGAAUGCGCAGAUAUCAGGAGGAACACCAAUAGCGAAGGCAGCUCGCUGGGACGUUACUGACACUGAGGCGCGAAAGCGUGGGGAGCGAACAGG
rnacentral:rRNA from 1 species